AUGGAAAUGGGUGAAAACACUGUCUCUGGUUGUACUGAGUUGGCUUCGACACCUCUGAUGGAAGACCACGAUUACACAGCCAGCUCUUUCAUCGUGGUCGACCGUGAGAAAUUUGAGAGCAUGUCGAGGCAGAUCGAGGAGCUCACACGGCAAAUCGAAACACUGCACAUGGAGAGAUUUGGAUUGCAACGGUUUUCUACAUCACCUAGUGACAUUCGCUACUAUUCCAGAUUUCCAUCAUAUGAACAUUUGAUGGCCUUUUGGGAUCUAAUUCAAGAGGCAACAAGCAGAAUGGUGAGAGUCACCAGUGGUCAGAAGAACCUCUCCACCAGUACAUCCACUGAGACCCCUAUGAACAGACCAACAAAACUGCUGCCAAUUGACGAGCUCUUCCUCUUCCUCAACUACCUGUCAACCGGCUGUACACAAAGGGAGCUUGGUCACAAGUUCAAUAUCCACAGAGCAACAGCAAGCAGAAUAAUUGUGACGUGGUCCAACUUUUUGUAUACUUUGCUUGGAUCGCGUUAGCAUGACGUGUCACUGCCUGUUACGAACCCUUGCUCGUUAAAGAGGUGCAACAAAAAGGAGGGAGACAACUGAUAAAAUGUUUGAAUACGUUAUCAUUUAUUGAUAAAUCAAGGGAUAGGGGGGAAUUAAAUAAAGAGAAAGGAGAUUGCCCUUCAAUAAACAAAGCAUUCAAAUGAACAUGUACAAUUAACUUAAUCAUUAGUAACAUAAGAUCUUUUCCUCAUUGACCUGUAGCACUCUGCCCUGACCAUCACCUCUCCUGAACCCGGAUCUUUGUCAGACACUGUGGAAAAAUAACAAUUUUAGCAAGUUAGUAAUUAAUAGGAUAGCAUGCAAGUUAGUUGGUAAGAACAAUGACUAGCAACUCUAAUAGGAAAAUAUUGUUGUCCAUCUAAAGUUCGUUUGUUCAUACACAGGCAAUCGCAGUUUGCGAACUUGACAACGAACGAACCAACGUUUGAUACUUUUAGGCUACUGCCUAUAUAACACGCAGGAGUGUCAACAACACAUAUCCUCCGAACAUAACAUCAUAAACUAAACAAGGGCUAAGACAAACAUCUAACGCACGAUUUCGACUUUUAUAAUGUAUAGAGAUAACAUAACAUUGACCAGAUAACAUAACUUUAGCACGUAGCAUGGAUAUCAUGUUGUUGUGACUUACCUUCAAAAUUGUGCAAAUAUUGCGAUAGAUACAGUAUAAACCCCUUUUCUCGUUUGGUUUGGGGUGCGGGUGAAAAUAUGCUGACCAGUCGAUGAACAUCGUCAACUGUUAUCGCCGGCAUAUGUCCAAGACAUCUUGAGAAAUUUGCUUCGGCCAUUGGGCUACCGGAUUCCAGCCGAGUCGUGUUGAUACCGGAAGCUCGACAGCCAAUAGGAAGUACGCUACCGGAAGUAGCAUAUGCUAAUGUGCACGUAGUGAAUAAGGUCUUUUAUGGCUUAAAUUAAAGAGCCUGUAAUGAUCUUUCAUUUUGAACAUAGACCAUUCCCAACCUAUCUGUAUGGAUAGUUUUCUUCUAAAAACAAAACAACCCUCGGAAUCAUCUUGGC
ensembl:lncRNA